UUUUUUUCUUCUUCUUCUUCUUGUCUUAACCU
rnacentral:sRNA from 1 species